rnacentral:rRNA from 1 species
UACGUAGGUGGCAAGCGUUGUCCGGAUUUACUGGGCGUAAAGCGCCCGCAGGCGGCUUGUUAAGUUCAAGGUGAAAUCUCCCGGCUUAACUGGGAGGGUGCCUCGAAAACUGGCAGGCUUGAGGUGAGGAGAGGGAUGCGGAAUUCCAGGUGUAGCGGUGAAAUGCGUAGAUAUCUGGAGGAACACCGGUGGCGAAGGCGGCAUCCUGGACCGGUAUUGACGCUGAGGCGCGAAAGCCAGGGGAGCAAACGGG